UACGGAGGGUGCAAGCAUUGAUCGGAAUUACUGGGCGUAAAGGGCGCGUAGGCGGCUCUGAAAGUCAGAUGUGAAAUUCUGGGGCCAUCCACCAGAGUGCAUUUGAAACUCCAGAGCUUAGAGGAUGGUGAGGGAAAACGGAAUUCCACGUGUAGCGGUGAAAUGCGUAGAUAUGUGGAAGAACACCAGUGGUAAAGACGGUUUUCUGUGCCAAACCAGACGCUGAAGCGCGAAAGCUAGGGGAGCAAACAGG
rnacentral:rRNA from 1 species